rnacentral:rRNA from 1 species
ACUUAAAUUGAAGAGUUUGAUCAUGGCUCAGAUUGAACGCUGGCGGCAGGCCUAACACAUGCAAGUCGAGCGGUAGCACAGAGAGCUUGCUCUCGGGUGACGAGCGGCGGACGGGUGAGUAAUGUCUGGGAAACUGCCUGAUGGAGGGGGAUAACUACUGGAAACGGUAGCUAAUACCGCAUAACGUCGCAAGACCAAAGUGGGGGACCUUCGGGCCUCAUGCCAUCAGAUGUGCCCAGAUGGGAUUAGCUAGUAGGUGGGGUAACGGCUCACCUAGGCGACGAUCCCUAGCUGGUCUGAGAGGAUGACCAGCCACACUGGAACUGAGACACGGUCCAGACUCCUACGGGAGGCAGCAGUGGGGAAU